CCCCUAGAUGUUCUGGGCCGCACGCGCGCUACACUGACGAAUGCAACGAGCUUAUAACCUUGGCCGAAAGGUCUGGGUAAUCUCCAAAUUUCGUCGUGAUGGGGAUAGAUUAUUGCAAUUAUUAAUCUUCAACGAGGAAUGCCUAGUAAGCGCAAGUCAUCAGCUUGCGUUGAUUACGUCCCUGCCCUUUGUACACACCGCCCGUCGCACCUACCGAUUGAAUGGUCCGGUGAAAUCUCGGGACGGCGGCUUGGUCGCUUGCGUCCGACUGCUGAAACUUAAUUAAACCAUAUCAUUUAGAGGAAGGUGAANUCGUANCA
rnacentral:rRNA from 1 species